UGGCAACCGCAAUUUUUCUCAACCUCUCUGCUUAGUGAAUCUUAGCACGACCAGCCUGAAAUUUAAGCCGCGUUUACACUUGCAUUUUUUGCUGAGAUUUUAGGUGCGAUUUUCUUCUUCUGAUGGAUGUGAAAGAGUGGAUGAGUUAUGAAUGUUGAGAUGAGGGGACAUCGGUGGUACACAUUCAGAAGAAGAAAACAGUACAACAAUCAUAACGCAAGUACAACAUUCAUAACGCAUCUACUCGUUCACAUACAUCAGAAGAACAAAAUCGCAGCAAAAAUUGCAACGGACCUUUGAAAAAUGAAGCGCCCUAAAUACAAAAAGCAUUUCGGGUUGGAUAAAACUAGAACUGAGAUAUAUAUUUUUUCCAACGAAUAAAUUACGACAAGUGUGUUUAUAUUAUUUUUUCAGAAACCUUAGCCAACUGAUUUUUUUCUCAAAAAUAACAAAAUGAUUAUCGCUGUCCGCAUAAAACGCUUCAUUAAUGUCUUCGUUAUUCAAAUCACUGCAGUUUGCCGACACGUAAUUAAGGUAAUUUGUAUAUAACAUUGUAGUCUGAGGAUGAUUUAGAUCGGAAAAUCACUACUACCUUAAAUGUCAUCAUUUUAAAACACUCAAUUUUCGGAUUAGCAC